rnacentral:rRNA from 1 species
AUACGGAGGAUCCAAGCGUUAUCCGGAUUUAUUGGGUUUAAAGGGUGCGUAGGCGGACUGGUAAGUCAGCUGUGAAAGUUUGCGGCUUAACCGUAAAAUUGCAGUUGAUACUGUCAGUCUUGAGUGUGCAUGAGGUGGGCGGAAUUUGUGGUGUAGCGGUGAAAUGCUUAGAUAUCACGAGGAACUCCAAUUGCGAAGGCAGCUCACUGGGGCAUAACUGACGCUGAUGCACGAAGGUGUGGGUAUCAAACAGGAUUAGAUACCCUGGUAGUCCACACAGUAAACUAUGAAUACUCGCUGUUUGCGAUAUACAGUAAGCGGCCAAGCGAAAGCAUUAAGUAUUCCACCUGGGGAGUACGCCGGCAACGGUGAA